UUAACUCAUAUUUGUGUAUGGAAUGGGAUCGUUUGCCUACGUUUGCCGCUAGGGGCGCUGUUCCAACUGCAUACAAAAUUGGGCUA
rfam:Bombyx mori DNA, contig: Bm_scaf43_contig24271, strain: p50T/Dazao, build 2, whole genome shotgun sequence.